UACGUAGGGUGCGAGCGUUGUCCGGAAUUAUUGGGCGUAAAGAGCUCGUAGGCGGUCCGUCACGUCGGGCGUGAAAAUCCAGGGCUCAACCCUGGACCUGCGCCCGAUACGGGCGGACUAGAGUUCGGUAGGGGAGACUGGAAUUCCUGGUGUAGCGGUGAAAUGCGCAGAUAUCAGGAGGAACACCGAUGGCGAAGGCAGGUCUCUGGGCAUUAACUGACGCUGAGGAGCGAUAGCAUGGGGAGCGAACAGG
rnacentral:rRNA from 1 species